CUCAUUCACAUGUAAAUUGCAUGCUUUCAGUAUUUGCCUUUUUGUCUGUAAAACGAAGUUAAGUUGGGCAAUAUAAUAUGAAUAAUUUCAGACUUCCCAUGUGUAAGAAGACGACUAAAGCGGACUGCUGUCCCAAGUCAAAAUCUGCCACAGUCAUCUGUACAUGAUGCCGAAAAAGCAGCCCGCCUCCAACAGCUCAGCGCAGAAUGAUUAGAAAGGAGGACACGGCGGUCAGCAGAGGAUAAUGAGGAACCAAAGGCAAGUGCUGUGUCAAGAUUUUGAGGCGACAGUUCCCACAACGAGCCUUCGCAUCUUAAAAUGGGUGACUUACCUGCGCAGGAUGAUGCCCAACCACUGCCAAGUGCUGUACCCAGUUUUCAAGAUGACAGUGCACAUGGGCCUUCAUCUAGCAAAAUGGGAGCUUUACCAACACAGGUGAACAGAAUGUGCUCAGUUUCAUGAGUAAAUUUGGCCCCUUGUCUAACACCUAAUAAAUUAAAAGCCUAAAUGUCGACCAGUAUGUCGUAACCCCACUUGCUCUAGCCUUCUGCGAAUAACGUCAGUGUGUGUGUGGUUGAUUUAUCCUCACGUUUCAUGUGACAGCCAUAAAGCAGAAGCCACUGCAGAAGAAGAAGACGCCACAAGUGUGCUUAUUGAAAUGGCUCUUGGUGGCAGUGCUCUAUCAAGACAGGACAAGGCUUCUCAAGUACACACAGGGGCACUUACACACAAAUUUGUGGACACCUUAGACGACACCAACAUUACGUCAUACACAG
rnacentral:lncRNA from 1 species